rnacentral:rRNA from 1 species
AUUGAACGCUGGCGGCAUGCUUUACACAUGCAAGUCGGACGGCAGCACAGAGAAGCUUGCUUCUUGGGUGGCGAGUGGCGAACGGGUGAGUAAUAUAUCGGAACGUACCGAGUAAUGGGGGAUAACUAAUCGAAAGAUUAGCUAAUACCGCAUAUUCUCUGAGGAGGAAAGCAGGGGACCUUCGGGCCUUGCGUUAUUCGAGCGGCCGAUAUCUGAUUAGCUAGUUGGUGGGGUAAAGGCCUACCAAGGCGACGAUCAGUAGCGGGUCUGAGAGGAUGAUCCGCCACACUGGGACUGAGACACGGCCCAGACUCCUACGGGAGGCAGCAGUGGGGAAUUUUGGACAAUGGGCGCAAGCCUGAUCCAGCCAUGCCGCGUGUCUGAAGAAGGCCUUCGGGUUGUAAAGGACUUUUGUCAGGGAAGAAAAGGACAGGGUUAAUACCCCUGUUUGAUGACGGUACCUGAAGAAUAAGCACCGGCUAACUACGUGCCAGCAGCCGCGGUAAUACGUAGGGUGCGAGCGUUAAUCGAAAUUACUGGGCGUAAAGCGAGCGCAGACGGUUACUUAAGCAGGAUGUGAAAUCCCCGGGCUCAACCUGGGAACUGCGUCUGAACUGGGUGACUAGAGUGUGUCAGAGGGAGGUAGAAUUCCACGUGUAGCAGUGAAAUGCGUAGAGAUGUGGAGGAAUACCGAUGGCGAAGGCAGCCUCCUGGGAUAACACUGACGUUCAUGCUCGAAAGCGUGGGUAGCAAACAGGAUUAGAUACCCUGGUAGUCCACGCCCUAAACGAUGUCAAUUAGCUGUUGGGCAACUUGAUUGCUUAGUAGCGUAGCUAACGCGUGAAAUGACCGCCUGGGGAGUACGGGUCGCAAGAUGAAAACUCAAAGGAAUUGACGGGGGACCCGCACAAGCGGUGGAUGAUGUGGAUUAAUUCGAUGCAACGCGAGAACCUUACCUGGUCUGACAUGUACGGAAUUCCUCCAGAGACGGAG